UACGAAGGGGGCUAGCGUUGUUCGGAAUCACUGGGCGUAAAGGGCGCGUAGGCGGCUUGAUAAGCGUGCGGUGAAAGCCCGGGGCUCAACCCCGGGUCGGCCGUGCGAACUGUCGAGCUGGAGCACUGUAGAGGCAGGUGGAAUUCCGGGUGUAGCGGUGGAAUGCGUAGAGAUCCGGAAGAACACCGGUGGCGAAGGCGGCCUGCUGGGCAGUGGCUGACGCUGAGGCGCGACAGCGUGGGGAGCAAACAGG
rnacentral:rRNA from 1 species